rnacentral:lncRNA from 1 species
UUUUCUUUUGAUAUUUCAAUGUCAUAUUGAAAAGAUGCAUUGUUAUUUUUCUUGUUAUGUUCUGCCCAUUUCAAUGGUCUUGGUAGUGUUGAAUUGUUUUUUUCUAGAAGCCAAAUGAUGGGUUAUAUGUUGAAAGUUUUGUAUUUAUUUGGUGAAAUUGUUUCUUUCACGGUGUUCAGGCUGUGUCUAUGUUUGUAUUUGAUUUCUUAAACAUGUUACUAGUUGUAGCACCAGGGCAUAGAAAUUACUCUCCUUUGCAAUGUGGGCUCGCGCGAACUUUAUGAACUAUUGCCUAGUUUAGGAGAAAUCUUUUGUUUGUUUCUCUUUUUCAAAGAAUUUUGAACUGUAGGUAUUAGAAUAAAGCAAGGAAAUUAAAGGUUCUUCUUUUAGUUACACUGGAACUUAUAGCAUUCAACAACUUCAAUGAUUAAGUUGGUUAUAGAUUAAGGGUGAUGCAGUGCCCAUGCGCUGCUUGCAUUUUCACUAACUACAGAUGCAGUUUUGUUCGACAAUUGACCCUUUCUUGCUGGUAUGUGUGCCUCGUCUUAGUGGAUGACCGCAAUCUGCGGGUAGCUGAUUUUGCUCAGUUUUGGGCAACUGCGAAGGUAUACCCUUAAUCCUUUUUCCUUCUUUCCUCCCCCAAUCUGUGAGUAUGUCUGCUGUCAUUUUUUUUUUGGUGGUUUCCUGGGAAUAGUUAAGGUCUUCGGGUGCAAAUAAUCUAUAGGAGUUUCAUUGAAGUUUGAAGCUAAUGAUAUUGAUGUUCUGCAUUUGUAUGGUAAUGUUUUAUGGGUUCUACCAUGUUGGACUUCAGUUUUAUGCGUAGUGUAGUUGUCUAUUCCGUAAAUCCUUCUUAGUCUUUUUUUUUUUGACCAGCAGCCUUUUCAGUAUAUUGUGCACUUUGGUUUUCCCUGUAUUUGAGAAUUUUCUUUGCUGUAUAUAAGCACAAAAGUUAUAUAUUUAGCUGGAUUUGAGGAUACAGUGCCAUUAAAUUGAAUGAUCUAUUGUAGAAUGGAAAUAUUUAUGAGAGGUUUCUUUGUUAGCAUUCAGAUGUCCUUUGCUCUUAUCUUCUUUUUCCUUCCGUUUUGCUUUUAGUUGUUCUGUAUCUUUAGACCAUGUUCAACUUCCAAAGCAAAGUAUAACGUACUCGAAAUUUAUUUAUCAUCUUUUCGGACAGAAUAAUCAUCACUAUUGGGGAUCAUCUUUUCAGUGGUCCAGAGAUGAUCCACGCUUUUUUGUAUAUGUAAUCCAAGGGAUACCUCAGAACAUUUGCUGUUCUAUAAAAUAUUUCAAAGACUAGCAAAUAUUAGCAAUUACUUUUGGGAACUUGUAACCUUUGUAAUAGAAUUAUAUUAUAUUUUUUUAGGAAAAAAAGGUAAAUUUUUUAUAUUCAUAUUUUCUCCUGGUUGCUAUUAGAAGAUUAUCCAAUAUUAUGAUUCCGAAUAAGCGCAAGUUUUAAUUGAUGGUAUGCUUGAAAUGAUAGUAGCGGCUUCAUAUUUCUAUCAUCUAACCUUUGAUAUAAUUGCGCUUGUAUUAUUGUUACGUGCACUAUGAGCUAAGUUGGACAUGUCUGUGGGAAGUUUGUUGUAGACAGGGCAAUGUUACAUAUCACUAAUUAUUUGGAUGUUCCUCUUUAUCUGUUGCUUUAAUUAUCAUUAUAUAAUUAUUCCACGUAUAGCUUGUUAUGGACUUUCCAUUUUAUUAAUGGUCACAUAUCAAAAUUUUCUUUUCCAGUUUGACUGAGUUUUUAUCUUACAUUGUUUGAUGGAGUUUUGGAUAGUUUGCAUUGUUAAUGUUUUAUGCUUCCCAUUAUCAAGCUAUAAUACAUGGAAAAAUAGAAAUGUUUUGACAGAAAAAUAUUUAAAAUUGCUGAACUUUUUAUUGAAUUGCCUACAAUGUACAGGAACGGAACCGAGAAAACUGCAGUCACAUUAUUUGUGUUGUUUUUUGGUGCAUUUGGUGCUCUCAAUUUGAUUCUUUUUUAAUUUUUUAACUGUCCCUGUUCAUUUAGUUUCUGAAUUUGAUCAGAGCACAAGUGGAACAUGUGAUUUUUGAGAUGAAAUGCCUUUCAGGGGAAAAAAAAAAAAGAUGGGAUUGAAUUGCAUCUUUUUUUUAAGGGAGAAUGGCUAAUAUGUGAAAGAUGAUAAUUUGUGACAAUUGUUUAAAGUUUCUAUAGAUGUGCUCAAUUAUAAAAUCCCUCAAUAUAUGUGUCUUCCACUGAUGAUAGAAGCAGAGUCAAUAGUUUGGUUUCUCUUGUCUGUUAUAUGCGCUGCUCAUUGUUUCUUGUUUUCUUGUCAGAGAUCGGGCUAUGAAGUGUAUAUACUAGAAGCUACAUACAAGGAUCCAGCGGUGAGUUUAUAUGCUAUUCAUUGUUUUUCAUUUUCUGGAUAAUUGCUCUUUUGAAUGUGCGGUUUGUAUUUUUCCUACUGCACUAGUUAUAUUUGGGGGUUCUUUAUUUGAAAUAAUUCAAAAAUUUAGCAUAAAUGGGGCAGAAGUUCCCUACAUACAUUGGCAGUAUGUGAAUGAUUUGGUGAAAUUGCAGGGUUGUGCGGCUAGGAAUGUUCAUGGUUUCACCCUUGAUGAUAUUGAGAGGAUGGCUGGACAAUGGGAGGAAGCUCCAACUUUGUACUUGCAAUUGGAUAUUAAGGUUGUGAUUAAUUUCUAAUUUUUGUUUUGUCUCAGAUCCAACUUUGUACGUGCAAUUGGAUAUUAAGGUUGUGAUUAAUUUUUAAUUUUUUUAUUUUGUUUGAGAUGCUGGAAGUUAUAAAACAAAUCAUUGUCCAUAGGUAGAAAAAUUUACAUAUCUGCUUCGACCAAAGUCAAAUUUAAUUAAUAAAAGGGAAAAGACUGUAAUCUGAUUUGAGAUUUAUUAACUUGUAAAAAUUUGAGAACUAGUUGUCUUUCUUCUGACUUUUAAGUUAACUUACUUUAGUUCUAAUGCUAUACUUCUGCUGGCAUGACAGACUUUGUUUCAUGGAGAUGACCUGAAGGAAAGUGGGAUCAAAGAGGUAAAUGAAUAAUUUAUGAUGCUAAGUCCACUUUGCUUGGGACUAGAAUAAUACAAGUACUUUUGCCUGAUUACAACUAGCUCUUGUUUCGCUGAAAUCAGGCCUACACUUCUUAACCUAAUCUUGGCCAAUACCUUUGCUUUUACUGCUUGUUCCGUAAUGAGCAUGGAAGUUUUGUGCUAGCUUUGGUACAUAAAGAUGUAUUAAUCCGCUAUGUUGGGAUGCUUACUUGAUCCCCGUAGCUGACAUGUGAAUCAGCUUUGACUGGGAUUUUCUGAAGUAGGGAUGAUAAUAAUUAUUGAUGUUUAAUUCUGCCCAAAGUACAUCUCAGCAUUUACUUUAGGUCGUUUGUUCCACAAAGUCUUCAUUCAUUAAUAGCACAUUGAGUGGGGAAUCUUGGAAUCGGCAUUCUACUGGCUUAUUAUUAUUUUUCUCAUGUCAAAAUCUACAGGUAGAAAUGGAUAUGGAUGAGGAUUCUGAUGGUCUAUUAGCACAGCAAGAAAAAGAAACCAACAGCAUUGCAGUUUCUAUAACAGGAGAAGAUCCACCAGCAGGUGUAUAUUUCAUCAAGUCAAACAAUUACUGUUGUUCAGUUUUUCUGAUUUGUCAAUAUGCUUGUAUAGAAACAUGUAUGUAUCUGCAUAAGGAUGGAUGAAUGACUAUGUGCAUGUUUUCAUUUAUGCAUAUUCUAUUUAGUUCUGUUUAUUAUUUCAUCUAGUUUUGGGCUGGCUUUUUAGUUUAUAAUUUGAACUUCAGAUUUCCCUAGGAAUGAGAAGAGAUGGGAUGCUGAAGGGGACCGUCCAGCGGAAGUAGUGAAAGACUUGGGCAGUAGUAAGUGGUCAAAUGAUUUAAAUGAAGACGAUGAUGAAACCUCCGGUGUUGUGAAGGGUAACUCAAAUGCUCUUUCUGGGUUGUUCCAAUUGUAUGUUAAGGAAGGGAAAUCCAUGCAUUGGGGUGAUCAGGUAUCUGCUAAAUCUGAUUCUAUAAAGUUGUAAUGUUAAAUGCCGAUGCAUAUAUCCACCAUAAAUAGAAAUGGGUAUUUAGUACAAAUGUUUCCACACUAGAUUGCUAUAAGCUGGUGAUAAUGGUAGUUUUGCCUAGUCUGCUUCAGUGGAAAUGUAUGUCCUCCAUUGGUUUUCAGUUUUGCUUCCGUGAUAGAAUUUUUGUUCUACAUAAUUCUCUCCGGUUCAUUGUAUUCUUACUAAAUUGUUUUGCUGGUCUUGUUCUUUUCUUAACGGAUUUUUAUUUAAAAAUUUCUUCCAGGUUGGUGAUACUGGGUUCUCAAUAGGUGCCACAAAGAAGUCAAAAAUGUUAUCUUUAGUAAUUGGACCGGGUGCGGGAUACAACUUGGUUAGUCUUGCAGCUGUAAUGGUGGCUUAUAAUUUGGAUUGUUGGAAGUACUUUUCACAAUUUGUGAAGAUCAUAGUUAACUUAUUGUUCUAAAAUCCAGAAUUAGUAGUUUUUCACUUCAAGUUCUUUUCAUCCUCAUUAGACGUAAAUUUUCUGAGGGCCUGGGGGAUGACUCAUUGAUUUUUAUGGUUCUCUUAUUUACUUUCACCUUAUCUUGGUGCAAAGAGAGCCAAGUUAAUAAUGUUGCUUUAUGUGCUUCCUACUCUUGCAGAAGUCUAACCCAUUACCUAAAGAAGAGAGCCUGUCAACCCAAAGCACUGGUAAGUCGAAGAAGCAGAGUGCAUUUCAAGAGCGUCUUCGUGCAGAGCGUGAAUCUUUCAAAGCUGUCUUUGAUAGGAGGCGACAGCGAAUUGGUGGACUUGAUUUGGAGGAGGAACCAUAGCGCAAUUUGGAUUCCAAACCACACACCCCCCCCCGCGCCUGGUGGCCGGGGCGGGUGGGCAGUAAUGCCUAGUUAUUUUUGUUGUACUGUUGGGGUUCUUUAAGCUGUUGUUCCUAGUAAAAUAGGUUAAUUAUUGUAUUUUAUGUUUUUUUUUUUUCCCCUUGGUUCGCCCCAAAAGAUAGCCCUGGAGAGUUCCGGUAAGGGGUAAUAAAAAUGCCUUUUGGUCAAGCCUAGCUGAGUAGUGAGUAGUAGAAAUUAGAGAAUGUUUUUGGGUUGGUCUGAAAACAAAAUGGUUUUCUACCCGACCCAAUGGCGUUUUUUAUAGAUAUUUAUUUUUGUAAUAACACGUAUUUUUCUCUUGUACAGAGAAUUUUGUAAUGCAUUUUAGAGCUCAUGCUUUUUGAUAAAACUAUUGGCUUCCAUCAUGCUGCCUGCCAUGUGGUGCGAAAAACAAAUGUUCGUGUACUUAAAAGUUAAAACUAUUCCAAUGGAAAAAAAAAAAAAAUGUUUGAUUACAUCUUAACACAAUGAACAAAAAGUCAUUUGCAGCACUUGGAAAAGGAACGAAGUCAAAUUUGUGUCUUCCGUUAAUCGAAUCUCGCUGCUAGUCUAUUUCGUGACCGGCCAUUGGUUUAAUGGGUGAAAGUCUUUAGGAUAAAAUGCAAUGGUAGUAAGUGGAUUCUGGCGUCGGUUUGACAAGCAAGUGCAUCCUUCAUUCAUAAAAUUGCAUGCAAGUGUGUGGGCCCUACCAAAAAUCAGCUAGACUACAUAAUACAGUGUAUCCUCUCAUCAGAACGUAACAUUUUUCUCUACCACUGCAUUUCGCUGACGGCAAAGUGUUCCCUCUCUCUCUCUCUCUCUCAGAGUCUCAUCCAUUCUCUUUGGUUACUUGAUGGCUAGUGCUGCUGGGCACUGCCUUGUUCGCUUCAUGGAUCCAGAUUCAAUGAAAAGCAUUAGUAUGUGUACCCAACCAGUUUCCAGCAGGCACUCCCUUCAAAAAUUUCACCAUGUAAAUAUAACUGUAAGCCACCCCCUCUUAUAUUAGUAAUAAAAAUAUUACAUAUAUAUAUAUAUAUAUAUAUAUAUAUAUUCUGGGUUCCCUUUGCCUGAAUCUUUAUUAUGUCAUGUAACAGAGAUAUCAAUCGUGUUCAUUGUCCAUGGCCAUGAUGAAUGGUUGCAAAGGAGACCCUCGGCUGCCUGUGGGUAUCAUUGACAGUUGUACGUUACCUGCAGUUCCAUCUCCAGCGCUGGCCUUGGAGAAACUUCACUCUGCCAUUUUCGGGUUGAAAUCCAACCCACCUCCAUUCACCUCUGGCAUCAUAAGGCUACAAGUAAGCAUAACUUCUCAUUUUCUUCGGUGUUCCAAAUUUCUUUGAUACGGAUGACCCUCCUUAUCUUUUGUGGACUAAUUAAUCCGUGCGGAAUUUUAUUGUGACACGUGGUUCGUGGGCAUUGGAUGUUGUGAUCUUCCCCACCCCCACACCCCAAAAAAAAAAAAUGCACUACGUGAUUGAUUUGUAAGUAGGAACCAGAGUCCUGGUUUCAAUUGCAAUAUUUCAUUACCAAUAAAGAAAACUCCAAAAGUUUAGGGGCUCAAAUACAAAUUCCUAAAAAUACAAGGACAUUUAUGGAAAUUCAUAUCAAAAUCUACGUUCCCGCUCUUUCUAUAUUCUGCAUCAACUGUAGCUGUAUUUAACCUUCUUUUUUUUUUAAAAAAAAAAAAAUUAAUCAUUCAUUUGCCUUCAUCAUUGAUUGAAGGUGCCUAUUGAAGAACAAAUCCAAGCAAUUGAUUGGCUCCAUGCUCAGCACCAACUUCUUCCACGCUGUUUCUUUUCUGGUCGAAGCCGAAAAAAGGAUUCUGAUAUUUCCGUUGUCUUUCCCAACGGUAAUGGCCAAAGCUCAGUCACCCACAAUUUGGUCAGCGUAGCUGGUGUGGGGUCUGCUGUCUUCUUCCGAAAUCUCCAUCCAUUUUCUUACAAUGAUUGGAGGUCUAUUAAGAGGUAAAGUUCAUACACAUGCUGACCAGUCAUUAGUGCACCACUUAACACCCGAUUCACCACCAGCGAACUACACUUCUAAUGUUCCACUUCUUUGAUUGAAGGUUUAUCUCUACAGAAUGCCCUAUGAUUCGCGCUUACGGGGCAAUGCGUUUCGAUGCAAGGGCCAAUAUAUCAUCUGAAUGGGAAGAUUUUGGUUCCUUCUACUUUAUGAUUCCUCAGGUAGAGCAAUUGUUUUCUUUCGCGAGUUCUGUGUACUCAUAUCCAUGAAUCAUUUAAUUUUUGUUUGUAUUUAUAAGAUCUGUUGCUAGAUACUAAAUGACAGGUUGAGUUUGAUGAGCUUGAACGGAGUUCUACGCUUGCUGUCACUCUUGCAUGGGACGAUGCCCUUUCCUGGACAUGGGCAAAGGCCAUUUCUACACUUGAAUCUACAAUGGACAAGGUAUGUAUGACUGAUUGAUUUGUGUUUGUUGAAUAAUGGAUUUUCUGAUUAUCGAAUAAUUUUUCUUUUUUUUUUUGGGGUUCCACUCCUUUUAUACGUAUCCUUAAUGAUGCAGGUUUCUUCCAAGAUUGUAAGGUUACAAAAAGAAGUUUCAAGAACAUUUAUCUUAAGUAAUCAUCAUAGUCCCAGUAAGAUGCAUUGGGAUCUUGCUGUUAAGAAAGCUUUGGAGAUAAUUAAUAGAAGUAGCACACCUCUUACCAAGGUAUUGACAAUCAUAACCAUGCCUUCUUUUGGUGAUAAAAUAGUUUGAGGACAGUAAUUGUGAACUAUCGUAUAUCUUACAUAAGCAUCUGAUAAAUACCCAUUUUGCCUGGAAAUUUAGGUCGUACUAGCGCGUAGCAGCAGAGUAAUAACUGCUACUGAUAUUGAUCCUAUAGCAUGGUUAGCUUGUCUAAAGGUACUCUUUUCGUUUUAUAAUUCAUUGUGUAGUGAGCAUAUCCUUAUAUGUCUGAUACAAAUGAAAUGACUCAUGCUUCAGCAAGUUGAAGGGGAAAAUGCUUACCAGUUCUGUCUUCAGCCUCCUGAUGCUCCAGCCUUUAUUGGAAACACGGUAAGUGAGUCUUUAAGCUUAUACUUGAAAUAAAAAGGAGUUGUGCAAAGCUUCUUUUAACUGCAUCCAGCAUAAUAAUUAUUAUUUCUUCUUUUAUAAAAAAUAAAAAAUAAAUUCACGGCUUAAUGUGAGAUCAAAUAACUCUAUUCUUACUUGGACUUCUACAAACUUUAUGAAUAGCCAGAGCAACUAUUUCAUAGAAAAUGGCUUAAGAUUACAAGUGAGGCUUUAGCUGGAACCCGUGGUAGAGGUGGAACAACUGCUUUAGAUCUUCAAAUAGAGCAUGACCUACUCUCAAGGUUCAUUUUCUUUAUUUUUUUAAUUUAUUUGAAUAUCAUCUUUUAUUUAUCACUUGCUAUGAAUCAUUUUUAAUUCUUUGUAACCAGUUUACGUGCAAUUCAUAUCAUGUAAUUUUUCCUUGUUCUACCCCUUGCAGUCCGAAGGACCAUCUCGAAUUUACUAUAGUACGUGAAAGCAUAAGAAGCAAAUUAGAGGCAAGUUUAUAUUAACUAUCUUUGUCUUUCAUCUAUAUAGUUUUUCUUCUUUGCAAAGAAAUGCCUUUCACUUGUGAUUAAACCAGUCUUUAACCCUAUUUUAUUGUGUAGGCAGUAUGCAACAGGGUAGUGAUUGAACCCAAGAAAGCAAUACGUAAACUUCCAAGAGUUCAGCAUUUGUAUGCUCGAUUGGCGGGCAGACUAAGAAGUGAGGAUGAAGAGGUAAAGCUAAUGCAUUUUGUUUUUCAAACAUUGAAGCAUCCCUUGAGAAACAUAAAAGUAUACAUUUUUAAUUCAGAUUCUGACCAAUAUGUUCCAUCCUCUACAGUUUGCGUCCCUGUUCUUAGAACUCUUCCAAAUAUGCAUUUACCUAUUUCCGGAAAUGUUAGGAUACACUUGUUAAUUUUUUGGAGUUUAAAAUUUUGUUUCGCUUGACUUUUGUAAAUUAUGCAACUCUGACUUUAAUCUCUUCAUUUCUCUCUUUUCACUAGUAUGAUAUCAUGGCUUCUCUUCACCCAAGUCCAGCAGUCUGUGGAUUUCCGACUGAAGAGGCACGCCUUUUAAUUGCAGAAACUGGUAGGUGCUUGUAAUUUGAUAUUGGUUAGUGGAUAUGGAUUUGUAUUUCCUAUUAUGAACUGGAGAGCUGUAGACUUAAGGGAAUAAAUGAAAAAACUAUGUUUUGAACAUUGAAUGUGACAAUUGGCCUAUGAAUCUCUUGUAUCGGUAUCUCUUUCUUUAUCUGAACACAGGCAGAUUAGUUAUCAAUUAUAGUUCUUGUAUUUAUAGUUUGCUCCAUUGAUCAGAAGUCUAUAGUAGGCUUAACGAACUCCUCUUUGCCCUCUUUUAGGCAUGACAAGACUUCAACUUACUAUCCCAAAAUCCUGAAUCUGUGUAUCUAAAACUAAAAUUGCUAUCCUGUUACCUGUGUGCAUAAGCUAAUGUAUUCCCAAAUAUGGUAUGCAGAAGUAUUUGACAGAGGAAUGUAUGCUGGGCCAGUUGGCUGGUUUGGAGGAGGAGAGAGUGAAUUUGCUGUUGGCAUCAGGUCGGCAUUGGUGGAAAAGGUGUGCUCUGACUUGUAAUGAUUACUUUAUUUUCAAGUAAGAAUUCUAGUUGUCAGCCAGCAUGUGAUGUUGUAAUCAAUAUGUUAAGUAAUUCCACCAGUAUUUCUAUUUUCUGUGAAGCUGAGAACAAAAUGACUGCUGUUGUUUCUAGGGGCUUAUGUCAUUAUGUAGUCAUCCUGUUGCCAAAUCUUAAUUCUGACUAUUUUACUACCCAGGGCCUUGGUGCAUUGAUAUAUGCCGGAACAGGGAUAGUAGAAGGAAGCAACCCAUCUUUGGAGUGGGAUGAGCUCGAACUGAAGACAUCUCAGGUGUGUGCAUGCUUUUCACAGACAUCCCUUUUUCUCCGUGAAUCCAUUAUUGUGUAUUAACAAUAUGAGGAUAUUUUCCAAAUAUCAUAUUAGCGAGUUUUGAUCCAUUGUGCAGUUCACCAAGUUCCUUAAACUUGAGGUGCCUUUGCGAUCAAGAUUUGAAAACAUUGGGACUCCGAACUGAAAAGGUCAGUGUUUUCAGUUACUAAUACAUUUUUAUACUUUUCUCUGCUUCUUCCCUUUUUUUUUUUUUUGAGAGGAAAGGUUGUUUCUCCAACUAAGACAUUGGUAGAUAUAUAGUUUAGAGAAUUCACUAAGUAGAUGAUUGUGGUUUCACUGCAGUUAGCAUUCUGCUGACCAGGAUGAAGAAAAAAGCUUCCAAAAGCAUGUCUAUUUCUUUUUUUCCCUGAAAAGAGAAGAAUUGUAUCUGGCAUAAUAUUGGCUGUCCAAAUAUUUUGGUUAGCUCGCUCACCUGUUUCAAACUCCUCAGUGUCUUGAAAACAUUAAUGGAGCAGAUUAGCUCCAUCGUUCUGACAACGAUCGGAAGUGAUCUCCAGGCAUUUUAAAUCAAGUGGCAGGAAAAACAAUAACAAGUAUUAGCAAAUUGUAUCAACAGUUUUGAUUUGUUUCACCUAAAUAGUAGGAGGGGCCAGGCAGCAUGUUGUUCGGUUGCAUCAAUUAUAGAUCAGUCUCCUGCACAUUUCAUAGAACAAAACUUUGCCAUUGUCGAUUUAAAUGACUGAAAUUUUAUGUUUCCUUAAAUAAUAAUUUAUUACAUUGCUACAUCACUCAGUUCAAUCAGAGGAUUGCAAAUAUUUCACCUUUACAUAUGUACACCAAGAACAUCAUAAGGACGGAAAUGAUUUGUCUGAGAUUCCUAGUUGUAUAAUACAACCUCUGUUCUAAAUGACAGGGUUCAAGAUAAUAAGAAUUAACAUGGCUUAUUCACAUAGCAAUUAAGAGCACCUGAAAAGCGUGUCAUCUGGGACGCAAAUUUCCCAGGCUUCGCAGGUAUCACAUCCUGUCUGUUCACAUUUCUGACGUCGCUCCCUGAUUCAACAAAGAAGGCUCCAUUCAUCAUCAAAUCCAUUUCUGACCUCCAAUUCCAUGUUUUCCAAACACUUUGCGGGGAAGAGUCCCUCUUGGUCACCUUCAACGAAAGUAUUAUUAACUCGUCAAAAUUAUGCAGCACAUUGUAACAAAAGUCAAAAGGAAGAGGGGGGUUGUUACGACUGUACCUCUUUAGAAUGGUGACUGUUAGAGGCAAGGAAUCGGUUACCCUGGCUAAGGAUAGUGGGAUGCUGGCUACCGCCUAUAGCAUACAUUAGCCAAUGAGUGUAGUCAUUGUUGACAACAUGCGCAAAUCCAAAUCGGACUCUGGGCAUUCUCUGCACUAAUUGUUUACCAAAGUGAUUGAAAGCAACAGUAACUUGCAUGAUUGAAUCUUGCGGGUGGCCAUCACUUGCGCCUAACAACAUCACAUGAUCCUGGUGUGUGAAGUGGGAAUUGGAAACGGUGAUCGCAGUUGAUCCCAUUACAGCAUCAAUCAGUCCAUCUUGGCAACCAGACAUAGACACAUGGUCAAUCCAAAUAUGAGAGGCUCCAAACAUUGAGAUUCCAUCACCAUCACUAGACAAGCGAAAGCCAUAAUGACUAACCGAGUCCCUAAUCAUGCCACCCUUGCCUGCUUUAGUUUUACGAAUGUGAAGGCCAUGGAUGAUAAUGUUCUUCACAAACUGCAUCGUAAUUUGAGCACCGUUGUAGAUCUGAACAUUAGAGCCACGCGCAUCAAUGGUCUUGUCACUAGUUAUUAGUAGCUCUUCGCUGAGCCUAAUGACCAUGUCAUGAGCAAAUGUGAUCCAAAGAGGCCUUUCUUGGAUGACAGCAUGGCGUAAAGUUCCUGGUUUGGGAUUCACAAGGUCGUCGUCUGCUGGGUUUGUUACUACGUAAAACGGACCGUUUUUGCCUCCAAUGGUGCCGCGUCCAAACCCUUGGGCACAGUCAGCUAGCCUCUUGCGGUUAUUAGCCCAGUUUCUGUCACAUCUCCAGCACUGAUCUAUUGGGUUUGUGGCUGCGCAUCUUCCUGUAUAUGGACGUCCCCUCAGAUACCUCCUCGUGCUAUUACCAUUUUCGAACAUCCUAUUUUUAAUUUAAUUAAAUUAAUACUCUCUAAGUAAGAAAUUGAUUAAUGAUGGAUUGAAAAUUAAAAAAAAAAAAAAAGUAAAGAAAACUAUGUACUGACUAACAAUAAUAUUAAUUUUCAAUACUAAUAAUAAUAAUAAUAAUGUGGGAGAGUGUGUGUGUGUAUUCAUAUGCGAAGCAAAGUUAAUUAAUUACUUACAUGUGAACGUGCUUAUUGAAACUACUAACGACUUCUUCAGGAUUUGGAUGAUAAGCUUCAAGGGCAUGCCUUCUAGCAUUUUCAGCUCGCUUCUGCCACACCUCAUCGAAAUCGUGAAUGUUAGCCUUCAAGAUCGGGGAUAUUGAAGCCAAACCAAAUAGAGUUAACAAUAUUCCUGCAUUUGCAGCUGCCAUCACAUGCAACUGUUGUCCUUUAAUUAAUCUUGAUAUUAGUGUGUGUAUUUUCUUUUUUAACUGCGUGAUUUGGAUUAAUUAAACUUGGGUUCUCUCACCCGUUGCCAUUGUAUGAAGAGACAAGAUCAAGUUUUUUCUUGGUGAUGUGGUUGAAAUAUUUUUCAGGCAAAUAUAAUGAGAUUUUACAAAGAUUGCUUUCAAGUACGAUUUAAAGCAAUAAUUAAUCUAAAUUUAGAAAAGAUAAUAAGGCAGGCGUCGAGAGGGAAGGGAGGAAAGCCGCUUCCCCUCAACGGAUCAACUAUUAGUUUUGGAUAUUUAUAACAUGAGGUAGAUAUUAUCCUUUGUUUUAUGUAUGCUUCAUGCUAGCUAGCUACUACGUGUUCGGAUACAUGACCAUGAUUGUAAUUCUUUUUUUAUAUCUACUAAUGGCUUUGGCUCGCAAGUACUCUGCCUCCUGUUUGUAUUUUAAUCAAUUUGUACACUCGCAUAUUUGAAUUUCAUGGUUGAAGAAAGAUAAUCGACAAAUGAAAUCCUUAAAGAUGGUUGUGUAAUGGAUUACAUUGGUCCAUUUAGAAGUCGCAUGGCCCGUAGACGUUGGAGUAAAUAGGAUUAAUUCUAGAUUCUUUAUCAAUGGUAAGGUUUAAAUUUUGGGGUUCUAACAGAUCCCUAAUUAUAAAGUCGAGAGUUAGAGAAGAAUUAAAAAUCAUUAGCAUCAAUUGAUACACAAGUUUUCUUAUUACAAGAACGUAAAUGCUAAAGUUUGCAUUAUUUUAUAUAACAGCUUAUCUUCUGACGGUCAUUUUUAUUAACCACAAAACCGAUCAUUGUGAGGUGCGAGGGAAUUGUAAAAGGUGUCGUUUGGUGGAAGCAUUCGCAAUGUCGAUACGUGCAAUAAGCUAAAAUGUAGCAGAGCACGCGUCCAAUGUCGACGUAAUCCACAUAAAAUCUUUUGGUACACAUAACAAGCAAAGAAUACUCCCUUUCCUUCCCUCUAAUCCACAUUGCAUACUUGUUUGUGUAGGCUGCCAAAAACUUAAAAGCCCUAACACCGUAAGUUUAGAAUAACUAUCCCACAUAAAAAAUCUGUGUGAAUCCGAUCAUGGAGUUUCCCAUUUCUAUAAAUGAUCGAUACGUACGUAUCCAUAUAAUAAACCCAUAACCCAUAUUACCAUUACAAAAAAUAUGGCAAACGUGGGAAGAACAAGAAGAGACGGAGAAAAAACCCUCACGAAUAACCCCAUAGUCAAAGAGUUUGUACCUUCGUCAGGUUGGACGGAGGACUCCAAUGGCCAUUAUCUCCUUGUCGAUCUACCAGGUACUCAACCAGAACUAGAAUUGAUCUUUACUGUAAGAUUAUAUAUAAUGGUAUUGAUAUUUAUUAAUGGUUAAUAUUAUUAUUGUGUUGCGUUAUAUAAAGACUUCAAAAAAGAGCAGGUGAAGCUUCAGGUGGACAGCUCUGGAAACAUAACAGUCAGCGGAGAAAUGCUGACGAGUGACAACAAAUACAUAAUGCGGUUCGAGCAGAUGUUUCCAUUGCCACCCAAUUCAGAUAUGGACAAGAUCUCGGGGAAAUUUGACGGCGAGCUACUUUAUGUUACUGUGCCAAAGAGAGCAAAAGAAGAGUCGACGGAGCAACCCUCGCUUCCUGCAUCUGCAUCUGGAGAAAACGAACAACAAAUUCUUCAUCGCAAUGAUGAUAUCCCUGAAAAUGUCGUCGAAGAAAGCAACGACCAUCAGAUGCGAGAGGGUGAUGAUGAUCGUGCCUGCCAAACGAACAACAAAGAGAAGAAGAACAAUAAGAGCGAAAAGGAUUCUUGUGUGGAUAGUUUUGGUGAAGAUUUCUUACGAAAAUGGGGAAAUGAGCCAAGUCAUCCAUUUGAAAGGGGAAUGAAGAUACUGCGGAGAAACAAGGGGAUUAUUAUUACGGCAGUAUUGGCUUUUUCACUGGGCGUGUUAUUAUCUCGUAAAUUCGGAUCUGCUGAUCAUAUUGAUUCUGAUUAAUUUGCAUUUAAGGUGUCAGUAAUAAUUUAUGCUUAUGUUUGUUUGUUUGUGAUAUUUAUGUGUUCAUGUAAAUAUUGGUAUGCACAUCUGCGUGCCUGCCUAUGUACAAGUAUAUAGAGAAUAAAAUGUUAAUUUGCUGGUAUAUACUAAAAGAAAUUUCAAGUAAUGAGUUCCUUGCAUUUUGGUUAAUUAAUUAUCUGCCGCAUGCUUCGCAUAAUUAAUUAUCACAUGGAAUUUACAAUUCCCUAACUGAGCUCUUGCUUGUAACUGAUCAAUUAAUGUACUUUACUGAUCACAUGCAUGGAUGAUUCCAUAACAAUCUAAGAAGAUGGAAUUACGUACAGAUUCAACGUAACCAAGCAGUAGUUGAUGAGAAAAAAAGGAGAGAAAAGAAAAGAAGAGGCAUGCAGGACCGCACCCCAAGGUGAACGAGAGAAUACAGAUGAUGAUUUUGAAUAGAAACUUGGUGUGCGAUCGAGCGACAACAUGAAUGAGACAUAUCAUACAAUUAAUUUCAAAUUUUAUCCUGUACGUUCCCAAAAUAUGUGUGCCAAUCAAAUGAUGUCUAUCCAUAAACAACCAGAUUGAUAUUUUAUUAAGGGUCUUGUGGCGUUACAAAUUGAAUAAUAACAUGAAUCAGGAGUUUAAUUUUUAUUAAUACAUACAUAGAAUUCUCAAAAGUUCUGCAAUGCAUAACAAAAGCAGCCAAAACCUGCAUAGACGAAACUUUAUCAAUGUUCCAAGAUCAAAUUUGAUUGGAUGCUGCUAGACAAGAAAAAAGAGAAAAAAAAAAAAAAGUUAAAAAAAGAAUGGCAUCAAAUUAUUGGCUAGCUGUUGGCUAUUGGCUAUUCCUGUUUCAGCAAAUAUUCUUGGGUUUUUUUUACGAAGUUGCAUGUAGCAUCGCAUUGCUCUCUUCCACGAAAUAUCCUGCAAACACACACAGACAGCAGCAUGCAUCUAGAUAUAUAAUCAGGGAAAAAAAAUAAAAACUUUAUCCUGUAGGAUCAGAUUCUGAAAGUAGUCCACCAAUUCAAAAGGGAACUCGAAAGCCACCUAAAAAUGUCGCGCGAUGGAGAAGCUUCUUUGGCAAUGGUGCCAAAGUUUCACCAUUGGUCCCAAAUUAACGAGAAUGUUUAAUGAUAGUGGAUUUCUUGUUCUGAUUGGGAUGAGGAUUCCACCUGUAAAUUAAAUUUGAGUUAGGUAGGUUAUCCCGGAAAAUUCUACUACCACCACCUGAGAAGUUAAAACUUUUAGCGUGCGGAGUCAUCUCCUAUAUAUUAAAAUUCAAUCUUAGAUAUUUUCUUGUUCGCUCUUUUAAUUUUAGCCUAAUACGGCCUUAUUUGAGCCCUUCGCGGUGUUGUAUUGUUGGCUCUUUUUUAGCCGUAGUAAUAAAACUCAUUAUUAUUAUUAAAAAAAAAAAAGAAGCUGGUGAAUUUCUUUCUUCAGUUAAACCUAGGAUUUGGAAAUAUAAUAGUAAAGUUCAGUUUUGUGACUGUCAAGAUGCGGCAUGCACCAUCUCACUCGUUCCCUCACCCCAGAGUCAUGUGAAUGGAUACACAAAGACACAGAUGCUAAGAUGGAUAAUUUACUUUUGGCUAAAACUAACUAAUUGAAUAUAUAGGAAAAUAAAAAGAUUAUAUAUGUAUGAAACGGUAACCUAAAUCAUCAUCACUUCUUUAACUAAUUCGUAAUUUUUCUCUUGGUUUUUAUUGGAGGAAGGGGUGAACAUAAUUAACCGAGGCAAACUUGAAAUUAAACAAAAAUUCGUGACAGCAGCUUCGAGAAGAAAAUUGUAUUUGUAUCCAUAUUAAAUAUAUAUAUAUAUAUAUAUAAUAAAGAAAAGGUGAUGAGCAUUUUGUUUGGUCUUUAAGAUUGUUGACAAGGGAAGAACGUCAGAGAAGAAUAAGAGAGGCCGAACGGGUGAAAAAGGUGAUGCUUUUGUGGAUCAACUUUAUUCAAAAUGUGGGUGCUUUUGACAAAAAGAAAGCGCACGGUUUGGAGGUGGAAUCAUGUGCCUUGCGCACCACACCACAGCCCACAGGCAUCAUAUCCUAUGUGACUCUUGACUAUGGAAAAGUCUCCAUUUUCUACAUCUCUAAUAAAUCUCUCUAUAUAUGCUCUCUCUUCUUUUUCUUAUCACUCUCGUUCGCUUCAAGCUUGCUUGGUCAUCCAAUUUCAACUAAUUAAUCACUACGUAAUUAAAUUAUUAAUUGAGACAGCCAAUGCAAAUCGUCUAAGCUCGGCGCGAAAAUGUUAAAUCCUAAGACAAAAAAUCGACGGUCAUUUAUGAACUGAUCAUAAAUUUAUAUAUAGUACGUAACUAUCACAGAAGAAUCAGCUAUGCUGGGAUAUUGCAAUUGCUUGUGAUUUCAUUAAAGUUUAUGUAAUUUGCAAGCUCCUAUAUUCCUCCUAUUAAAAUAAUAAUAAUAAUAAUAAUAAUAAUAAUAAUAAUAAUAAUAAUAAUAAUAAUAAUAAUGUAAAGAAGCUGAGGUGGAUAACGAACCCGUAAAGUAGGGGGAAGCCGAAAAGUAGCAAAGCAAAAAACUUGACGAGAGAGAAUGGAAUCAUUUUUCCAUUGCAGUGCCACACACACUGCACAAAAAAAACAUUCGCUUAAUCUACAGUAACAAUACCAAGUAAAAGAUUAAAAGGAAAAAUCAAAACACAGCAACGAAAUCAAAUAAUAAAAACACCAGCUAACAAAACAAAACAACAGCAAAUUCAAUAAAGCGAAAUCCGCCUCAUUUCUCUCUCUCUUUCUCACCCGCUAUCAACGCUGCCCACUCCGUGUCCAAAACCCAAAAACCCCCUCUCCCCCCACUUUCCGCUUCUAAAAUGAGACCAUGACGACGCCGUCUCAACCACCGCCACAGCAGCAGUUCACCGUACGCAAACUUGUCGUGGAAGUUGUGGACGCACGUGACCUUCUCCCCAAAGACGGCCAGGGAAGCUCCAGCCCCUACGUCAUCGCUGACUUUGACGGUCAGCGGAAGAGAACGUCCACCAAAUUUCGCGACCUAAACCCUGUAUGGAACGAGCCGCUGGAGUUCAUGGUCUCCGACCCCAAGAACAUGGACUACGAAGAGCUCGAAAUCGAAGUCUACAACGACAAAAGGUACUGCAAUGGCAGUGGCCGUAAGAACCAUUUCCUCGGAAGGGUCAAGUUGUGCGGCAGCCAGUUUGCUAGGCGAGGAGACGAAGGCUUGGUGUAUUUUCCGUUGGAGAAGAAGAGUGUUUUCAGCUGGAUUCGAGGUGAGAUUGGGUUGCGAAUUUAUUACUACGAUGAGUUAUCUGAGGAGGAGCAUCAGCAUCCACCACCGCCUCCAGACGAGCCGCCGCCGCCGCCUCAGCAACAGCCGGGGGUGUGUGUAGUUGAAGAGGGACGAGUUUUUGAAGUUCCAGGAGGACACGUGGAGGUUUGCCAUCCUGUUCCGGAAAUCUAUCAUGGCCAGCCGCCGCCACCAGCUUCUAUCAUCGACGAAUCUCAACCGCACGGGGUGCACGUGCAACCUGGACCGGUCCAAAUUCCGUCUCAUGAUGAGCCGAUUCCGACGGCGGUUCCGGCGGCCGAGAUUAGGAAGAUGCAAAGUGGAUGUGCUGAGAGGGUUAGUGUUUUGAAGAGACCAAACGGCGAGUAUUCACCUAAAGUGAUUAAUUCGAGUAAGCCUAAUGGAGAAGUUCCAACGGAAAGGAUCCAUCCGUACGAUCUCGUUGAACCGAUGAUGUAUUUAUUUGUCAAAAUCGGAAAAGCGCGUGGGUUGGCUCCAAACGAGGCCCCGUACGUGAAAAUAAGAACCUCCAGCCACUACAAAAAAUCAAAACUAGCGAGUUACCGAGCCUGUGACCCACACGACUCGCCCGAGUGGAACCAAGUUUUUGCGCUUUUUCACAACAAGAACGACUCCGUCAGCGCGACCUUGGAGAUCACGGUGUGGGACUCGCCGACGGAAAAUUUUCUUGGUGGUGUUUGUUUUGAUCUCUCAGAUGUUCCAGUGCGGGACCCACCGGAUAGUCCCCUGGCCCCACAGUGGUAUCGCCUUGAGGGCGAAGCUUCAGAUCAGAAUAACAGAGUGUCCGGCGACAUUCAGCUCGCAGUGUGGAUUGGAACUCAAGCCGACGAAGCGUUCCCUGAAGCGUGGAGCUCAGACGCUCCCUACGUGGCUCACACGCGCUCCAAGGUUUAUCAAUCGCCCAAGUUGUGGUACCUGAGAGUUACUGUGAUGGAAGCUCAGGACCUUUGCAUUGCUCAUAAUUUGCCUCCGCUAACGGCGCCGGAGAUUAGAGUUAAAGCACAGUUAGCGUUUCAGUCUGCACGGACGAGGCGUGGGUCCAUGAGCAAUCAUAGUUCGUCGUUUCACUGGCACGAGGACGUGUUCUUUGUAGCCGCCGAGCCGUUUGAGGACUCGCUGAUUUUGCUAGUCGAAGACCGUACAGCCAAGGACGCAGCGGCAGUGAUACUGGGACACGUUGUGGUUCCUGUGAGCUCGAUUGAUCAACGAAUUGAUGAGCGCCACGUGGCAAGUAAAUGGUUUCCAUUGGAGGGUAGUUGUGGCCGGGGAUGCGCACGGUCCUACUGCGGGAGAAUUCAGCUAAAAUUAUGUUUGGAGGGUGGUUAUCACGUGCUUGAUGAGGCAGCUCACGUGUGUAGUGACUUUAGACCCACGGCUAAGCAGCUGUGGAAGCCGCCUGUAGGGAUUUUGGAGCUGGGGAUUUUAGGCGCGCGUGGAUUGUUACCGAUGAAAACCAAAAACGGAGGCAAAGGGUCCACUGAUGCUUACUGUGUAGCCAAGUAUGGUAAAAAGUGGGUGCGUACCCGAACCAUUACUGACUGCUUUGAUCCACGCUGGAACGAGCAGUACACGUGGCAGGUGUAUGACCCUUGUACCGUCCUCACCGUUGGAGUAUUUGACAACUGGCGAAUGUUUGCUGACGCGUCGGAGGAGAGACCCGAUUACCGCAUUGGAAAAAUUCGCAUCCGCGUAUCAACUCUGGAGAACAACAAGGUGUAUACAACUUCGUAUCCAUUGCUGGUAUUGUUGCGGACCGGAUUAAAGAAAAUGGGCGAAAUUGAAUUGGCGGUUCGGUUUGUGUGCCCUUCAAUGUUACCCGAAACUUCCUCCGUAUAUGGGCAGCCACUGCUUCCAAGAAUGCAUUACUUACGGCCGCUAGGGGUGGCCCAGCAGGAGGCAUUGCGUGGAGCCGCUACAAAGAUGGUGGCUUCGUGGCUAGCCAGGUCGGAGCCACCACUGGGGCCUGAGGUUGUGAGGUACAUGCUGGAUGCGGACUCUCAUGCAUGGAGCAUGAGAAAGAGUAAAGCCAAUUGGUUUCGGAUUGUUGCGGUUCUUGCAUGGGCUAUUGGGUUGGCUAAAUGGUUGCACAAUAUAAGAAGGUGGAAGAAUCCGGUUACUACGGUUUUAGUGCACGUGUUGUAUUUGGUUCUGGUUUGGUACCCGGAUUUGAUUGUCCCAACUGGGUUCUUGUAUGUGGUCUUAAUUGGGGUGUGGUAUUAUAGGUUUAGGCCCAAGAUACCGUCGGGUAUGGAUACAAGAUUAUCACAAGCGGAAACGGUAGACCCGGAUGAGCUGGAUGAGGAGUUUGAUACAAUACCGAGUUCAAAACCAUCGGAAAUCAUCAGAAUGAGGUAUGACAGGUUACGUAUGUUGGCUGCAAGAGUACAGACGGUAUUGGGUGAUUUUGCAACACAGGGAGAGCGGAUGCAAGCUUUGGUGAGUUGGAGAGACCCAAGGGCCACUAAAUUGUUCAUUGGGGUAUGCACUGUUAUUACAUUGGUACUCUAUGUGGUGCCACCCAAGAUGGUAGCCGUGGCAUUGGGAUUCUAUUACUUGAGACACCCUAUGUUUAGAGAUCCCAUGCCACCGGCUAGCUUGAAUUUUUUCCGGCGGCUACCGAGCUUAUCGGACAGAUUGAUGUAAUAAUAGAGAAGAGUUGAAGAGUAGAUUCCAUUCAUUAGUUAUUACUAGUUUUAAGGCACCGAAGUAAAGUAAAAUAGGGGGAGUGGGUGGGGAUGAGGGUUGAGGUUGUGUUGAAAAGUUGUCUCUUUUUUUUUUGGGUUUUGGGGGGUUUAUAUUUCAUAUUUGAAUUUGAUUGACUGACUAUUGAAGAAGAAAAUUGAAAUAAGAGAAAGGAGGUGGUGGGGCACUUCCACUGGGACAGUUUGGGGGGUAAGAAAAUUGAGUGCCCGGUUCUGUACGAGUGUGGCCGACCCCAGAACCAGAAGAGAGAAGAGAUUGAUGUAAUGUAACGAUGUCUCAGAAAGUGAAAAACAUUCAAUUCAAUUGCUUUUCUAACAUAUAUUGCUUAACACCUUUUCUUCAACCAUAUCUUUAUUCAUACCUGUGUCAAUAAUAUAUUAUUAUUUCCAGCGUAAAGUGUAAAACUAUAAAUUUAUACAAUUUUCACGAUCGCAAUCACAGGUCGCAGCAGUUCCGUAUUUUUCAGUUUAGUUUCGGUACAGUUUCAUAAAGUAAGGAGGUCCAUUUGAUUUGCGAGAAGGCAUGGUGAUGGGCUGGGCCCAUAGCGUCGAUCAGAAAAUUUAGUCAAGCUGUAUGGCUGGCAGCUGGCAGCUGGCAGCUGGCAGCUUUCAGCUUCUUUUUAAGAAAAAUUUCAGAAAAUUUUGACUUUAAGAGCGAAUUUGUUCGGGGGUAGCGAUUUGGGUACAAGGUCUAGUUUAUCGACACAUGUGGAUACCGGUGGGAAUUAACCUACAAAUAGAAAAUACAUAUUGACUUUUAUAGUUGGGUGGUAUAUAAUAAUCACUCUAUUUUUAAAAAAUAGUUAUAAAAAUUUAUAGUAUUUUUAAUAAUUUUAAAUAAAGAAGAAAUUUGAAUAGUUAACCAAUUAGAUGUUUAUUAAAUGUUUAAAUUUAUUGCACAAAACAUAAGUUUGGACAAUUUAGUUAUUUUAUAUUAUAAGGGUAAAUAAUUCAAAUUAAAAUUAUGUUAAAACAAUAUUAGUGACCAACAAUGACCAAGAGACUUAUAUAAAGAAAAUUAUUUAAUUGAUUAAUUGUUUAAAUAAUUCUUUAUAUUCAAUUUUUAAAAAUAAUGUGAAACUUUUUUUAAAUGACGUGGAUUUACACUUGCUGUGGGGAGUAGAAAUAUUCCCAUCAUUUUCAGUUAGUCGACUUUUACAUAAAUGUGCAUUUACAAUUUUGCUCUCUUGACUAUUUAGUUUAACAAAGAGAUAACAAAAUUUGGGGGUUAAAAUUAGUAUUGUCACUAAUGUGAGGCUAAGCGUAUAAAGUUGACACUGAGAGUCUGAGAUUCAAAGUGACCAACAAAACAACUCUCGCUUGAACAAGUUAGGUCUUGAUGGCUGAUUAUUAAGCGUAUUUGUUAUUGGAAAACAAUAAUAAUAAAUAAGAAGAGUGAAUUUGAGAAUAAAAAUGAGUUUUUUAUUUAAAUAUGCCCCAUUUGUCCUUAAAUGCCAAAUCUAUACCCUAUUACAUACAUAUACCUCAUAAAAGUAUAAAAAGUAAAAAAUACCCUAAAAAGAUCAUCUAUCUAUAUUUUCUUCCUCUCUUAUGGCUUCUACACAAUAGCAUAACCAAAGUCGAGUAUACUUGACUUUUUACCCGAUUUAAUUAAAAGGAAAUUUCUCAUUUCAAUUUAAGUCGAGUAUUCUCAAUCAAUUACCAAACUUCCAUGAAAAUUUGAGAAUUUUUGUUGAAUGAAUAUCGGGCAAGGUUAAAUUAAAGUCGAGUAUCCUCGACUCUUUACUCGAUUUAUGUGAAAAAGUCGAGAAUUUUCCAGACAAUUUUUUAUUUCAAUUGAAGUUGAGUAUCUCGACUAUUUACCCGACUCACAUGAAGAAGUCGAUAAUUUAGACUGAAUUACUGAUUGUACAUAGUACGGUUGAAGUUGAGUAUUUUUUACUAUUUAACACACUUUAAGGAUAUGAGUUUAGUUUCUUGAGGAUUUAAUUGAGGUUAUUUUUGUACUUUUUCUGAUUUUUUAAAGUAUAUAUGUGUAAAACUAAAGAGUAUUAUAAUUUAAGACUUAUAUUAGGUAUUUUGGAGGAAAUGUGAUACAUGUAAAGCUGGCCAACAUGUCGAGCGACAUGUGGUACGGCACGGGUAGGGAUGGCAAUUGUACCCGCAAACCCAUCCAAACUCGCCUGUCAAAACCCAUCCGCUGCGGGUAAUUUUACCUGUUGCGGGUGGUUUAUUAUUAUAAACUAAAACCUACACAUGGAUGCGGGUGGGUUUGAUAUUAACCUUAUAUCCGAUGGAUACCCGCAUUGAUAUCCACCAGACCCGCAAUAUUUUUUCCAAAUAUUUUUAAUUUAAUUUUAAUCUAAAAAUGUAGAAAGAAAAUAAUGUAAUAAUUCAAAUUACCAAAUAGCAAAAGGCCCAAAGUUGUGUAUAUUAUAUACCUAUUUUAAUUUUGUAUGUAGUAUUUUUCUUUACCUUAAUACAUGAAUUAUUUCAUUAUUAUAAUUUUUUUCUCCGAAUUAGUAUUUGAAAAUAUUAAUCUUAAUUAUUAUUUUAGGAAUCGUGUUGGAUGAGUGCUUAUUGUGGUGAAUGAAAUGAAGAUCUUCUCUUGGAGCUUGUUUUAAAUGAUAAUAUGAAAUGUAAUUGUUAUUUUUAGGUAGUAGUUUGUGUUUUUUAAAUGAAUUUGUGUGAUUUAUACUUAUAUUUGAGAAUUUGUGUUGGAUUCAUGUUGAAAUUUUAAUUUUUCAUUUAUAUUGGUUAAAUAUAAAAUUGAGUAUGUUAUAUAAAAUUUGAGGUUAUUAUUAUAAAUUUAUAUAUUAAAUAUUUAUGAUUUUAAAUGCGGAAACCCACAAAAAAUCCGUCGAGUACCAUUGCAGGUUUGGUAAUUAUUAAAAUCCGCUGCGGGUGGGUUUUCUUAAAAAAGUUAAAACCUGCUGCGGGUUGCGGGUGGGUUUGGUAAUUUAAAUUUUGUGCGGGUUUUUGUAAUGGCAAACCCGCUACGGGCGGUGCCCAUUGCCAUCCCUAGGCACAGGUACGGCAUGUUUCGACAAGGCACACGGCACGACACAACACACAUGUGGGACGAGCCAGCCUCAUAUUUUUUGGCACGUGGGCCUUAAAAGCACGGCACUCCAAAAGGCAUGUAAUAAGCACACUUUAUUGGUGGGCUAGCACACGGCCCAUGGGCCAUCAAUAGCACGAGCGACAGUAUAUCAAAGGAAAUUUUUUUAAUAAAAAGUAAAAAUAAAAUGUUAUGAUUUUAUAAAUAUUUUAAAAUUAAAAUUUUUAAUAUAUUUUAUUAAAUUGAUUUAAGUCUUAGUUUUAAAAUAAUUUAAUUGUUUUAUGUUUAUCAUUUAUUAAAUGAAUAAAUAAAUAUAAUAAUUUUAAUAAAUAAAAUUAUAAAUAUCAUAAUUUUAUAAAUGAUAUUUCAAAAUUUUACGACAAUUAAUAUUUCAUUUAUAAAAAUCGUAACUUAAUUAAUGGAGAUAUGUUUCAUUUGUGAAUAAAAUAUUUUUCAUAUUUAUACAAAAAAAAUUAUGAACGAAAUAUUUUUUAUUUUUAUGAUAAAUUACAAGUUGCAUUUUCAUUCAAUGGAGUUCAAUUCCAAUUAUAAUAUUAAUUAAUAAUUCAAAUAAAAUUAGGUGUAAUUUGCUUCACUGCAGUUCAAAUAAUAUUGUUGUUUUGUAAUUGAAUUGGUAAUUGUUAAAUUAAACAUUUAAAUAUAUAAUUGUAAAAUUGUGAUAAAGUGAUAAUACAAUAUUAAUUGUUCUCUUAAUAGUUAAUAAAAAUUAUUAUUAUUGUUAUUGUUGUUAUUGUUAGAUGGACUGAUGGAUUUGAAAAAAUACGAUAGACACGUGGGUUUAAGCAAAGCACAUCACGUAUGUGAGCUUAAAAAAACAUGCGGGUUUAAAGAAAAAAUUGAUGGGCCAAAAAAUUGGGCUGGGCAUGGCACGGCCCAUCAAUUGGUGGGCUGAGGAAGGCCGUGCCGUGCCGGCCCGUGAAUCCUCACAGGCCUUGGUUUGCCGACACGGCCAUCGGCCACCUUUAGGCACAUGCCAAGCAAUUCCCCCAAUAAAAAGGCCAAAGAAGAACGGAUUUGGUAUGACGUACAUAAACAAUCAAUCAAAGCACAUCGAUCCCUGCUAAAGCCUGCAUCUGCAAGACUGCAACGACCUAAACGAUUGAGAUUCCAGGUCUGAAACUGUAGUCCCAUUUAAUUUUUCAUCAAUAAGCUGAAGGUUAAUUCCCAAUAAUUUAUGAUCAAUCAAGCUUGCAGAUGGUGAUCUCCCUCCCGUCUGUCAAAUAGAAGCAACUAGCAUCAUAUACAAUCAAAUCAAGAGACAUCUGACAAGUCCACACUUCAUGUGUCAAAAUAUACGAAAUUAAUUACCCAAAAAAAAAAAAGAAUUUUUUAUUGCUUUUGAGUUUUGACAUAGUUAUGAUUCUUCAGCAAUGAAUCCAAUACUUUCCAGGCCUUUCUUGCAUGAUAUAUGCGUAGGUGUAUACCUAGUUCCCAUGUUGGAUUGAUUAUCGAUUGGCUUCAAAAGAAAAACUUAAUUUAUGUGUAAAGAGUAUGACAACAAAUUAGCAAACGUGCAUAAAAUUAUUAUUCAACUAAUAAGUAACAUGCGACCGCAUUCUCGAACCAAUUUGAGUACAUGCCCUUUAUUUUUAUUUUUAUUUUUAUUUUUGGAAUAUUUUGCUCGUACGGGCAUACAUAAUGUAUGCCUAUAGCUAUAACAUACAUAUGUUUGCUUACUAUUAACUUGAUUUGUCUGAUCUUUAAUUUGUUUUAUUUGCAGUAGUGAAGCCUCAAUUAAUACAAAAAUCCAGUAUCUGCUGUGUAUAUUGGAUUAAUUUUUAAUAUGGGAGAUUCAGCAUAAAUAGAAAAAAAAAAAAAAAAAUCAAUCAUCGUGUCAAAAAAAGGUUCCCUGCUUGUCUUGUCUGUUCACUGAUCCGAAUAUGAUCAAAGCACGUAUAUACGACUGCUUUUGUUGCUUGUGUGCUUGUUGCUCAAGUUCAUGCUUUACAAAGAUGGAGGUACAAAUUUCAAGUUUUUUUUCCUCCAAUUUCAGCAUGCAAGCUCGAUGUGUGCGUGUGUGUAUAGCCAAGCCUCGUGCAUUUGGAUUCUGCCCUCUGUACAUUUUCAACUGAGAGUGAAGCUCACUUCUUGUUGUACAUUUCUCUUAUUUUUUUUACCUUCUACAGUUCCAUUUUCGGACUGGAAUCAAAUGACUUAAAAAUCUUAAAAGUUUUCCCGUCUUUUUUUGGUCUAGCUCCUUAUAGAGCCCCUUGUAUUAAAAAAAAUUGAUGUCUCUUCAAUGGGAUGUGACAAAAAGUUAUUAAACUUUUAAUAGAUUCUUGGAAAUUUCGCUUUAUACAUAAGUACUGCAUGAGGAAACUUCCUUUUUGACCCUUUCUAUCCUCGCCCGAUAAUAAAUCGCCUUGCCACCCAAAUCACAAUUUGUUAAUAGAAAAGUUUUGAACUCCACUGUUCAUAAGAUUAAACAAAUGAGCAACAGUCCUGGUUUAUAUAUUGAUAUUGGCAAAAAGGCCAGAGGUUAGUUAUGUCAUCUUCGGUUCUUUAGAAUGCUUAUUUUUAUUAAUAUACUGAAUAUUUUGCGCUCAUAUUAAUUAAUCCUUGCUUGCUUGGUUCUACGCAAGAUCUUCUCUACAAGGAUUAUGGCGAUAAGCAACCAGCAAAUCACUUCCGCUACGAUUGCGUGGACAGCAAUUUUGAUGUUUCCUGUCAAUGUAAUUUAUGAUGACAAUGAAGUUUCUCUUUCAAUAUCUCUCUUGCCCUGUAAUGAUAUAGUCAAUUGAAAUGCAUUACCAAUACAUAUUUGCUUCUUAUCAAUCCACAUAUUGUGGGUUGUUGCAUUACGGAAUUUACUCAGUUUUUUUGCUUCUCAUAGCUGGACAUUAUCAACUUACGAUCUUAUUGAAUAUAAUGAUCUGAACUUUUACAGGUGAUGCUAUUGUGCCUGGACUCAGUACAGCUUUUAGAUCUAUCAUUCCUGAUUCUGGCGGGGUAAAUUUUCUCAACUUAAUUCUAUCAGAAUUAUUGUGUCUCAAUGAUUUUUCGUUUGGUGUGAUGUUAUAUGUAUUUGUACAAUGCUUAACCACAGGUGGAACUGCGAUACUUGCAUGACUAUGCUGGGUUCACUGCAGGCAUUGGGUUGAAGGCAGGCCGCCAUAACCACCUUCAGUCGGUAGGACUUGACCGCAUUGUAAAGUUUUCGGUUGUCGCAGGAAACACUGUUCUUUCUCUUGGGACCGAUGCAGCCUUUGACAUAUCAACGAGGACUUUCAGCAAUUACAGUGCUGGCUUGAGCUUCAACACUGCCUUGUUCAAUGCUUCCGUGAACUUGUAAGCAAUCUUACGAGAAUCAAUUGGUUCAUUUCCAAUUUUGUUUAUUGAUUAUCAACUAAGCUUUUCUAGUAACGCAGGAACGACAAGCUUGAAAACUUAAGAGCUUCUUAUUAUCAAGAGCUGGUCCCUCUGACCAGGACUGCCGUUGCAGCAGAGUUGACGCAUAGUUUUUCUAAUCACAGGAGUAUUUCCGAUAACAUUCCCAUUCCAACCAGCUUGACAGUUGGUUUCCAGCACGGGCUGUUUCCUUCUACAUUGGUGAAGGUCCGUGUCAACACUAAUGGCAAAGUGGGUGCUCAUGUUCAGCAGUCCUUCUGGCAAAAGUUCUCUAUAGCUGUUUCUGGAGAGACUGAUAUAAGGGCCUCAAGCUGGACUCCCAAUGUAAGAUUCGGUAUGGCAUUCAGUUCCUAGAAUAAACUCCAUCUCUAAGUCAGAAGAUUACAUUUAUAUCAUUUAUUAAAUGUUGUACUAGAUAAAUGGGUGCCUUCAUGUUUAAAAUUUCAAGUGAACUAAUGAGAUGGUUUCUGCACAAGUAUUUUGAGGAACUAUGAUUUGAACUCCGCAUAAAUUUUAAGACUGAGAAGUGAAAUUAGUCAGAAAAUUGACAGAUACAAGCAUCUUUCAUCAAGAACAUUUCAUAUCUUGUUGAAUGUCAUGUGCCCAGUAACUGUGUUACAUAACAAUUAAUGAACAAAUUGACAACCGUAAUUAGCCAAGAACAGAACACGUGCAAACUUGACAAUAAAACAAUAAUAAUCGUACUUGUCUUAACACAAAACUAUGUGAAUCCAAAUAAAAGGUAACACGUCACUGGUGUUGUGAAGCCUGCUACAUCUCUAACAGCAGAAUGUCCAUGGGGAAUAAAGACGGCAGAGGAUGUAGAAGGGCCUCAAUUUCCUUCAAGGUGUCGAAGUUUAGUACCCAAUACUUUAUUAUUGAGAUCAUCCUUUAAAUACAUCCUUUGCCGUGGUUCCUGGAGCACUGACAGAGAAUCCCAGCACACUGUCGGUGGCGAGCAAUACCACGCGUUAAUUUCAGUCCACCGUAAAUUUAAUUUAUUAUGUCCGCUGGUUCGUGUGGGAGUCUUUUUAUUCUCCUUUUGGUUUUAAAUUUUAGUAGUGUUUGUAAUUAUAUUUUGUGGUUAGGCAUUGGCUUAAUUUAAGCUUGAGUUUUAAAUAUUUUAUAAUAUUUAAAUUGAAUAUGGUCUUAUAUUUAUGUCUAAAUGGCGAUGUAUUAUUGGUUAUUGUUUUUUUUUUUUUUUGAGUAAUACAUGAUAUUACUUACGUAUACAUAUACAUCACCAUCUAUAAAAUUUUAUUGAGUUCAUGUAUUUAAAGACGAAGAAUGAUUGUAGAGUUUUAGCUCAUUCUAUAAGAGAUGUUAAGUUCUCUUUUGUUCGAAGGUCUGCGAACAUUGCUGCUCAUGCUGCUGCAAGAGUGGGGGAUUUUUUGUCAGGUCCUAGAGAGUGGAGUCAUGUUCCACCUCUUUGGUUAACUUCUUAUCUAUUUGAUGUUUCUAUUUAAUGAAAUUUCCAUUUAUCAAAAAAAAAAAAAAAGACGAAGAAUGACUAAUAAUAUAUCGCCGCCAUAAAGACGUAUUGCUAUUUUCCUAAUUAUAUAUAUAUAUACUGCAAAAAUAUCGUUUCCGCCAUGCCUUUCUUUGUUUAAUUGUGUUUGGCUGCUGCUGCUGGCAAAAUUGGAGGGAAAAGACGAACCAGUUACUGCCAAUUACACCUCUAUCCAUCAUACCUACCGUCUUUAACUUUUAUCUUUAUGUUUGGUGUAGCCGGAAUUAACCUAUAGUCAUUUAAUAAAUAAAUUUAAACUUUUAAUUAAAAUUACAGAUUUACAUUUUAGUUAUUUACAUAAAGUUUAAUUUCCGAUAUAUGUAUAUUUAACAAGAUAUUUUAGAAGCCAUUGUUUCAUAAUUUAAAUUUAUUAAAUAUGUUAUGAAAUUAUUUCUAAAAUUGAAUAUUUCAAAACCUGAUGUAGAAAUAAUUUCAAAAAUUCUCUGAUUACCAGAAAAUUAUUAUCCCAAAUAGAUACAGACGUUCUCUUUGGUCUUUGAAUCGGCGAGAAAUUUGAAAACACGUCUUUUUAUUCACUCAAUCUUCACUCAGCCAGAUAACAUCAUGUUUUUUUAUUUCAAUUUUGCCUCAUUUACCCAUAAAUACCAAAUAUAUACCCCAUUACAUUCAUAUGCCCCACGGAAAAAAAAGUCAAAAAUACCCUUAAAAAAACCAUCUAUCAACAUUUCCUUACCUCACCAUUUUAGAUACUUUCUCACUCCUCGCAAUUCUUCCUUUCUUAUGGUUUUCUCCCCUCUCAUCAAUUCAUCUCUUACCUCUAAAACAAAAUUUUUUGAUAAACAUAAACUCUUGAAAAAAAAACCUUAAAAAUAUGUGCAUUGUCAAAUGGUGAAUAAAUUAUGUUUGAAAUAUAAACAUUUUAUAUGCUUAGAGUUUGAUUUGACUUCAUUACAAGUAAAUUUACUGAUGAUUUAUGAAUUUGUGAUAGUAAAUUAUUCAUUUCAGUCUAGCACACACAUAGAGUACUGUAUAAAAUGUAGGACUUAAGACCAAAACAUUUCAUUUAAGUUUUGGGUGAUUGAAAAAUGAUUUCAGGAACAAGUCGAGUACAAAGUUGGGUAAGUCGAGUAAAAAAUGGAGUAAAGGAGUUUAUUAAGUCAAGCAAGGAAAUCAAGUAAGUCGAGUAUCUAGUCUGGCAAAAAUUGUAACUAAUCAAGUAAGUAUGAUGUAAGUCGGGUAGAAAGUCGAGAAAUAUAUCGAAUAAUAGUAAGCUUAGUAGUAAAGUAUAAGUCAGGUAAUUAGUCAAGUAGUAUAGAAUAAUUUCGGUAACUAGUGGAAUAGGUCACUGAACAAAUCGAGUAAAAGUCAAGUAAGUUUAUGAAUAAGUCAAGUAUGAAUCGAGUAAGUCUAUUGAAUAAGUUGGGUAUUAAUUUUAAGUUUUUUGAACAUGUUGGGGUAGGAGCCGAGUGAUUUUUUGAACAAGUUUACUAGUUGAGUAAACCCAAAGUAACUCUUUGAACAAAGUAAGAAUUUUGAUCACGUCAAGUAAAAGUCGCUAAGUUGAGCAAAUCUUUUAACCAAGUAAGUCUUUUGAAAAAGUAAAGUAUUAAUUAUUUUAAGUUGUUUGAAUAAGAGAAGUAAGUCUUUUGAACAUGUCAAGUAUGAGUCAAAUAAGUCUUUUGAAUAAGUCGAGUACAAAAUGAAAUAAGUAUUUGAACAUGUUGAGUAUUAACUAUUUUAAAUUGUUUGAACAAGUCAAAUAAGUCUUUUGAUCACAUUGAAUAGGAGUCGAGUAAGAAGAUCGAGUAAGUUAUUUGAACAAGUUGAGUAAGUUAAUUAAAUAAGUGGAAUAAGUCUUGUAGUGUAAUUUUAUUCAACUAUUUUAAUAAUUUUUUUUUCUACAAUUUUUUAAUGAUGACAGUGCCAUCACUCAUCAAUGGCAAUCGUAUGUGUUCCCAUCCUUUUUAACAUUGAAUGGACUCAAGAAAAUGAUGGUUUUAUUCCUAACCAUUUUCGCAAUGGAAAUGAAUCAUAACACAAACUUAUCUCAACACUCAGGUUGAUGUGGAAAACGAACCAAUCGAGAUCCAUUUUCGUGUGGAGAACACAAUACUACCGGAUAAUGAAGCACCAACUGAUAGUCUACUAGUGUUGACUGUAACCAGCCAUGCUCUUGGAAGAACUAUUUUCCAAGACAAAGUUUGCUUGAUAGUACUAAUUCAAUUUGCAUGAAUGAUUCAUUCCUCAUUGUCGACGAUUUAGCAUCAAACGAGGUUGGUGAUGGCAGCAACAGAUUUGUGGAAAGACAACAAUUUUCUUUUAAAGAGAUCUUGUGAGGCAUGCUCAGUACAUAUGCUGUAACAAAUAAAUUUGGAUAUGAAAGUUUAAGUCUGGCAAGGAUAAACUUUUCGUCACUUGCGUGGAUAAAAACUGUAAACGACAUCUUCAUGUUGUUAAGGUAAAUGAUUGUGGUAUGUUGUCUUUAAAAGGUGGCAUUGUGGAGUUUUUGGGUCAUGUCUUGAGUGCUUGGAGUAAGUGAAAGACCAUCCUAAGUCACUGUAUAAAGAUUUCCUUACUGAAAUUGUAUACUAAUGAUUUUGCUAGUUGUUAUGAGAUGACAUUAUAUUUAUAGUGCUGUUAUUUCCCCGAGUCAAACCCCGAAAAUCCCACAAAACGACGUCGUUUUGUUUUGAUCUUUUUCCUUUUAAUUUCAGCUGCAAGCGCUGUGUCGAGCAAUCCGUUUCAAUCCAAACGAUGUUGUUCUCCUUCAAUUCGUUUCAAAGCACAUGACGUCGUUCUCCUUCAAUCCAUUUCAAGCACAUGAGUGCGAGCAUAUGCUUUGUCCUUCAAUUUCCUUUCAACCACAACACUCCAAUUACAAAACCUUAAGUACAGAACUCCUAAAUUACAAAACCCCAACUAGUUCCUCAAAAUUAAGUGCAGAACCCCUAAAUUGCAAAACCUCAACUAGUUCCUCAAAGUUGAGUACAGAACCCCUAAAUUGCAAAACCCCAACUGGUUCUUCAAAGUUAGUUUCAAUUUGUAUUUGGGCUUUGGCAUAAGGUAACGUAUUGAUUCCUCAACGUUUACUUUACUUGAAUCUUGAGCUGGUUUGCGUGAUGGUUGUUGUCCAUCGUCUGUAGCUCGCGUGAUGGCUAUGAGUUGUGAGCGACGGCAAUUGUGGCUGGAGAACUCGAGAAAUGCUGAGAUUGCAGAUUUUGUGGUUGUGAAAGUUGAUUCAAAAUGGUUCGUUUCAGCUUCAUCAAAAUGGUUCGUUUCAGCUUCAUCAAAAUGAAAGGAAAAAAAUGUUACUUCUAAACGAUGUGUUUUCAUUUUAAUCAAAAUGGCGAGUUUCAAUUCGGGGCUUAAGUCGAUGCGCAAGUCGGGGGAAAUAACUUUUUCCUUAUAUUUAAUGUUUGUUGGAUAAUUUAUGGUUGUUGCAGAUACUAUUAUUUUUUAAUGCUUAUUACAUAUCUUAAAAGAUGAUUACUUACUAAAGCUAAAGUCACGUAUUUUGGACACUAAAGCUAAAGUCACGUAUUCUGGACUCAUUACCCGGCUUCUAUGAAAAAAGUCUCGAAUUUUUUGAGAAAUUUAAUUGGUCGUGGUUCAAUUAAAUUCGAAUAUACUUAACUCGUUAUCCGACUUUCAUGAAAAAAGUCGAGAAUUUUUCAGUGGACUUAAUUGAUUGUGGUUUAACUAAAGUCGAGUAUACUCAACUCGUUACUUAAUUUGAUUAAAGAAGUUAAGAAUUUUUUUCAGAGAACUUAAUUAUUGUGGUUCAUUUUAAGUCGAGUAUUCUUAACUUGUUAUCUAACUUACAUGAAAGAAGUCGAAAAUAUUGAUCUUGCUCGACUUCAAGAUAUCAGUUCAAUUUUGUAAAGAUUUAAUUAAAAAUAUUUUCAUAUUUUUCCUUUUUUAAGUAUAUAUGUGAAAAUUAAAAAGUGUAACAAUUGAAGCAUAUUUUGGGUAUUACUAAUGAGCAACCACAAGAAAGAGAAUAUAUCCAAAAAAUAUAUAUAUAUAUGGUGAAAGAAAUUUUGAGAAUAAAGUUGGGCGGCGAGCGGAGGAAGUCGGUUUGCGCUAGUUUCCCAUCACUUGCUGUAUAAUUUUAAGUUGACAUAAGCGCACCAACUUUUGUUCAUCAGUUUGCUGUAUUUAGUAUCUUUAGCUUCCCAUUAUCUAAUUUUAAUGCCUUCAACGCUUAACUUUUUUUUUUGGUUUCUAUUUCCUUCUCUCUCUCAGGUCUUCUGUAUAAAGAUGACCUGGAACAAUCCACCACUGAUGGUAACUUUUUUACUUUUUAACAAAUUACCAAGACGAGCUCUUAGGAGUCUGCCAGUGAUUUUCAAUCAUUUUUUUAGUCGUUCAUCCGCGGUCUAAUUUUGGAGAGACAGUGGCUUAAAAAAUGAAUUUAAUCUUUCCUCACCCUACCUUGAAAUCAAAAGAGUGAAAAAAUAAAUACUGUCUUGUAGAAUUUUAUCUUUUUUUUUUUAUUGCCCUGUCAGAUUUAUGAUUUUUCUGUUUAAAAUUUUUUCGUUAUAGCCCUUUGGGAACCAAAUUCUUGGUCGGCUUAUCUUUCAUUUGUUAUGUGUAUACUGUGGAUGUGUUCAAUAUUCUUCGUUUCCAAUUGUGAAUGUUGAUAUAUGCGGCAGCCCGCAGAGGAGCCAAGUGUAGUGUCUUCGGCUCUCUAUUACUUUUUCAGCGGAGAAACCCAUUUCACAUCUUGUAGGACAUGUCUGUUAUUUUUUACGUUUCAUUUUCGGUGUGGGAUCUAAUGUCUUGAAACUGUUAGAUUAAUUUUAUAUUAAUCUAAUAUAUUUGGGGUCACACAUGAAAUAAAUAAAAUGUGUGUGCUAUUAUUUAAUAAGCCAAGAAUUAAGUGAUCUAUUUGGAGUUAAUUAAAUGGUUAAGGGUAUAAUUAUUGUGGAUUAAAUGUAUAGAUACCAGAAUUUAAUCAUCACUUUAAUGAGGGGCUGAAGUGAUAGUUAUCAUAAAUAACGUGACCAUUGGUUUUCUAAAGAAAACCAACAGUCCCGUUAUUUAUAUAAAAGGGGUUAUGGUCCUCAAUCUCUCAUCAUCCUCUGAAAUUCUCUAAUCCUCUUAGGGAAAAUUCUAAACUCAAGAGAAAAGAGAAGAUUGGAAGUCUAUCUCCUACACUCAAGAACCACUACGAAUCACCAUGGAUUCAGGUAUGCUUCCGCUUUCGUAUUUCUCAGUAAUUUAAUUUGGAUGUUAUGAAGAUUUAGGGGAUAACAGAAACUUCUGUCAGCAAAGCUUAAAAUACAUCCAUGGAUGCUUGGAAAUUUUGCUUUAUAAUUUAUACACAAGUACCUCAUCAGGAAGCUUCCUUUUCAGCCCUUUCUAUCCUUGCCUAAUAAAUUUAUUUUCACCCAAUCCACAAUAUGUUGAUAGAAAAGUUUUGAACAUUGUUUAUAAGUUUGAACUUCAAAAUGAGCAAGAGUCCCGGCUUAUACAUUGAUAUUGGCAAAAUGGCCAGCUGUUAAUAUACUUUUCUAUUCUUUUAUUGUCGUUAUAACUUAAACAAUUUGCACUCAUAUUAAUUAUUAGCCAAUUAAUAUUUGCUUUUAUCAACGUCAGAUCUUCUCUACCAGGGUUAUGGUCAGCAACCACCUAAUCACUUUCGUAACGAAUGUUUACGCAGCAGCUUUGAUAUCUACUGUCGAUGUAAUUAGUCUGCAUUUAAUCUUUUAUGAUGACAAUGAAGUUCCUCUUUCAGUGUCUCUUUUUCCUGUUUUGAUAUCCAAUACACAAUGCAUUACCAAUACUUAAAUUCAGUAAUGCAACAACUAUAUCAAUUUAUGCAUAUUAAGAAGCAUUGGCUCAUAGUCAUAGCUCGACUAUAUCAAUUUAUAAUGUGGACUUCUAAUCGAUUAUAAUGAUCUGAACUUCCACGGGUGAUGAUGUUGUGCCUGGACUGAGUCCAGCUUUCAGGUCUAUGGACCAUGAUUCUGUCAGUGUAAGAAAAUUAUCUCUACUUAACCCUAUCGGAAAUUUCAAUGAUUUUUUUUAUUAGUGUAAUGUUACAUGCAUGUACAAUGCUUCAUUCUUAGAAGAAUGGUGAUUGUAAUCAGGUGGAACUGCGAUACAUGCGCGACUACGCUGGGAUUACUGCAGGCAUAGGAUUGAAGGCAAACUACAAUCCGGCUAUAGGAGUAGGAUUUGCACUUGACCCCAUCACUAACUUUUUGGGUGUCAUAGGAGAUACUCUUCUCUCUAUUGGGACCAAUGUUGCCUUUGACGUAUUAACAGGAACAUUAAGCAAUUACAAUGCCGGUUUGAGCAUCAACACUGCCUUCCUUGAUGCUUCCUUGACCUUUUAAGCAAAUAUAUUACAAGAAUUGACUGGUUUGUUCCCAAUUGUAUUUAUUGAUUAUCAACUAACCCUUUCCAAUAAUGCAGGAAUGAAAAACUUGAGAUUUUAAGAGCUUCCUGCUAUUUAGAACUGAUCCCUCUGACUAGGACUGCCAUUGCAGCGGAGUUAAAGCAUAGUUUUUCUAAUAAUGGCACUAUUUCAGAUGCCAUUCCAACCACCUUGACAGUUGGUACCCAGCAUGAGCUGUUUCCUUCUACACUGGCGAAGGCCCGUAUCAACACUGAUGGCAAGGAGCUACUGUUGUCUAGAAAUCUGUCUGGCAAAGAAUGUCGUUAGCUUUCAAUGUAGAGACUGAUUUUAGGGCCACAAGCUUGAUGCCUAAGAUAACUAUAGCUCUGAGGUCCAGUUCUUAGUCAGAAGAUUACUGAAAAUAUGUACAAAUUAUCUCACAACAUUGAUAUGCACUACUUGAUAAAUGGGUGCUUUAACGUUGAAAAUGUUAAGUGAAUUGAUGAGAUAGUUUUUGCAAAAGUUGUUGAGGAAUUAUGAUUACUAUAACCACGCAUAAUUUGUGGGACAAAGAAGCGAAAGUAGUCGGCCAAUUGACAGAUCUUUCAACAACUACUUGAAGGUCUUAAGCUCGGUAAGUUUGUUGCAAUAAAACAAAUUAAGGACCACAAUUUGCCAAGAAUAGAACAGAGCACAUGGAAACUUCGGAAUAGAUCAAAAUGAAAACUUAUACUUGUCUUGAUACGAAAACUAGAUAAGCCUUAUCAAUUAACGAUUCACUGGUGUUGAGAAGCCUGAAGAAGUCCAUCACGGAUCUGUGUCGCUACAUCUCUAACGGCACCAGGUCCAUGGGGAAUAAAGACAGCAGAUGAUUUAGAAGCAGCUCCAAUUUCCUUCAUGGUGUCGAAGUAUUGGGUGACCAGGACCAUGUCCAUCACAUCCUUUGCCGUGGUUCCUGGAACGUUGAUAGAGAAACCCAGCACACUGUCUCUCAAGCCAUCCACAAUUGCCUGUCGCUGCCGAGCAAUACCAAGCCCUGACAGAUAUUUAGACUCAGCCUCGCCUUCAGCUCGUUUGAUCUGUAAAAUUUUCUCUGCCUCUGCCUUCUCGUUAGCUGCCACCCUCAGUCUUGCAGCUGAGGGAGUACAAUAAUAAGCAUGAUGGGAUUUGAAAUGAAGUUUGAUACUCAUUUGAAGAGAUGCUAGAAACAUUACCAGCGUUAAUUUCAUUCAUUGCCCGCUUGACAUGCUCAUCAGGUUCUAUAUCGACAAUAAGUGUUUGAACAAUCUCAUAGCCAUAAGCAGACAUAGCCUGUUAGGAAAAAUAACACAGCAUAACAGGAAUAAUUUCCCAUAACCUUCACAAUAAACGGGAUUAGCUUACAAUACAACAAACAUCUCUGCGCGAUAAUGUACAUCACCUUUUCAAGCUCCUCCUCCACAGCUUUGGCAAUUUCAUUUUUUUGCUCAAAUGCGUCAUCUAGAUUUAACUUUGGAAUACUUGCCCUAAUCACUGAACAAUUUACCAGAAGAUCAUAUAUAGCAUGUGAGUGAUGCACUAAACAUAUGUCUAUAGUCUUAAACAAAUAUAUAUAUUUUACCAUCAAAGACAUAGGCCUGAAUUUGAGUCCUUGUGUUGCUGAGUUUAUAGAAAGCAUCAUUUGCCUUAUGUGCCAGGGCACGGUAUUGAACAGAUGCAACAACAUUGACAAAUACAUUGUCCUGGUAAAUCACCAAAAAUUAUAAUCAAAUGAAAUUAAAGAACAUGAUGACAAGACCACCCAAGUAAAUUGUACCGAUAAUGAGUAGUUAUCAACAGACCUUAGUCUUGGUUUCACAACGAACAUCUAACUGCUGCAGCCUGAGUGUAAGGUGACCAGCUAGCUGAUGUCCAAGGAUCCAUGGGAGGAAAUGGCAUCCAGGUUCAAGGACAUCCUCAAACUUGCCAAAUCUCUCCUUAAUAGCCACUGUUGAUUGGUCAACUUGUACGCAACAGAACAGAUUCCCCAUCUUCUUUACACUCUAAUAUGAUAAAAAUAAAUGUAAAAAAAAAAUUAAAAAAUUUAAAUCACUUAGAAACCAAAAUGAAUUCAUGGUAAAAAGCUAUCAGGGAAAGCAAACUUACAAAUCAAUGCAGAAACAAAAUGGGGAAUGCAAAUGCUGCUGUAGGAAGAUAUAUAGUGAUAGAAACAAACAACUAAAUCAAGGGACUUAAAUAGAAACAAAAGCUUGGCCUAGGAAACUUCUCCAAACUUUCUAUGCGUUUUUUAGUUAAGUUAACAGCAAAUUAAGGGAAGUCCUAUUUCUUAGAAGAUUUCACAAUUUUCGGCCAUAAAUAGAUAUCAAAGUUAAAUAUGUGAACUGUAGCCACAGAGGACAGUGAAGACUCUAAGAAACUUUCCCAUUUGAAUGAACUUAAUUGUAUAUUCAAUUAAAUGUACGACCAUUUUGAUGACGAUUCUUGUUUGCAUUAAUGUGUCAAGAGUGAUGAUAAGCCUCAAAAAUAACGAAAAUAGCAGGAUGUUGCGUGUGUGUCAAGAUACAAUCAAGGCAACAAGAAAGUGCCUGAAAAAAGUUAAAAGAGACUUGAGAAUGUAUUAAUUGUGAAAAACUAUUAUUAGCCGUCUUAGCUAAGAAAAAUAACAAACGGAAUUCUUGCUUAAUUCUGUUCUAUCAACUUUUUUUCAUUGCUAAAGUUACGAAGAUCGAGAAAUUACUGUGAGUUAAUAAUAGUUUUUUGUUCAUAGAACACCGGACAACUGAAGAUGCCUGUCAUUUGUUUAUUUAAUUAUUUCAUGUCAUUAUAAUAAAGAAUGUUUUAAUUGAAAGGAAAUCUUGACAGAAACCCACAAUUGAAAUAGAAAUUGUUGGAGAAAGCAGAGGAAACUCCAUCACCUUUUAAUUCUUUGAAAGAGAGAGUCAGAAUCUUGACUUUGAGGGUUAAGAAACGACUUAAAUUUUAGGUGCCUAUUUUUAUAGUUUUAUAAGUUUCCUGGAAAUUCAGAGAAAUAAAUUCUACUAAUCCAAUAUAUGUCUAAAAAGAUAUACCCUACUGAGUAAAUAUGUGGUGGGUCAAGAAAUAAACUAAGCAUCCAAGAAAGGAAAAGUGGUUCUUGCCUUUCUUGGGAGUAUGGAAUGUGGUCAAAGUCAUCAUCCUCUCUUUCAUUCAUUUGCCAUGAGAUCGGUCCACCCCAUUUAGCGCUGGUGUUGGCCUGGUUCAAUUGUGCUCUGCCACAUAGUGGGAUUCACUUUUAUUAAAUCUUGAAACUUAAGACUUUAGGCUAGCUGAUCUACUCAUAUUCACUAGGCUUAAUCAAACUUCAUUGAGCAUAAUGAUGAUAUAUAAAUACUAACUAUACUAUAGUGCUUUCGAUAGAACAAAUUAAGAAUAAAUUUAAGUUUAAUUGUAAUUAGACAAAUUGUUAUUAAAUUUAAAGUUACCAAAUUUAAUUACAAUUUAAGUAAGUUCAACAAUGAUAAUAAAUAUUAAUAUUUAAUAAAUGAUAAAUAAUAACAACUCAUGAAUUACAAUACUUACAUGCCCACACAUAUCAAUUUUUAUCGGGAAAUUUACACAAAUAACCUAAAAAAAUUUGUUAUUUUUACAACUAACCCCUCAACUUUUUUCCUAUCAACAUUAGCCAAUAAUCACCCCUAGUGCCAAAAAUGCCCCUCCCAUAACUCUACCUCUCCUUCCUCUCUCUCUCUCUCUCUCUCUCAAUUUACUUUUAUGUAUUCCAUGAUAAAAGUUCUUGGUAAGAUUUUCUAGCUCCUCCCUAGCUAAGUGUCCGUAGCAUGUCUUUUUUUCAUUCCAAUAAAGAAAAUUAAUUAAAUCUUCGAAAUCUGGAUCUUAUUUUGUUCUCAUGAUGCAAAGCUCAAGAAGAAUACGUGAAAUUUGUUGGGAAAAAUGGAAAUAAAGAGUAUGAGAGACUUCGAAAGCCCUUGGUCAUUAGAAUGAAUUUGAAUUUAAUGUCGAGUUUAUUGUGCUCAAAUGGGGCGGCCGCCACGAGUGGAUGAACCUUGGUGAGCCUGUAGAAAAGCAACUGAGGCAGUGCCAGAGGCAAUGCAACCGUCAAGAGGAGGGAGGACAACAGAGAGCGUUGUGUCGGCUUAGGUGUUAGGAAAAAAUAUAGAAGAGAGAAAGAGGGAGAAGGAGGACAACAUAACACGCAAGAGGAAGAGGAAGAGGAAAAGGAAGAGGGAGAUGAGGAGAGGCAGUGGCAAGGGCAAGAAGAAGAAGAUGAGAAUCCAUAUGUAUUUCAUAAACAUCACUUCACUAGUAGAGUUACCACCCAACAUGGAAGAGUUGCUUUUCUUCCCAAGUUCACUCAAAGAUCAAAGCUUCUUCGUGGCCUUGAGAAGUACCGCCUUGACAUUCUUAUUGCUAAUCCUCAAACAUUUGUAACUCCAACCCACUUGGAUGCUGAUGUCGUUUUCUUAAGAUAAUGGCGGUGUGAUGCAAGCUGUUUUCUUAAGAUAAUGUAAUCCUUAAACAUUAGUUUCACUUCCACUUAGAAGGGGGCGAAGAAGUAGAGGUGCCAUGCAAGCCGCCACUACUGAAGUGCUCAUUCGAUUUUGAUUUUUAGAAGAAGCAAUAGUUUGCAUCAUCAUAAGUAGGUGCGACAGGCACCUGUCACACCAAAUUUUAGUGCGACAGGCAGCCCGUCGCACCAGAUCUUAGUGCGACAAGCACCUGUUUGCAAUCACACUGAAUCAAGUUCGCAAGUUAAGAAAAUAUCUCUUAUUGCUCGCUGAUACGGAUUAGUGUUGGAUCCGGAUGGAUUACGCUGUAUUUGAUCGGAGUUCACUUUUACCGUUUACCGUUGUCGUUUGCCGUUUGUCGUUGCUAUUUGUCGUCGUCGAUGAUGAUUCAAUAGUACAAGACUGCGUUUGGUUUGAUCAAGGGGGAGAAGAAAAGUUAUUUUUGGUUUGUAAAUAAGGGUAAUAUGGGGAGCAAAUCUUGUAUUUGGCUAAUGUUGAUAGAAAAAAGUUUGAAGGACUAAUUGUGAAAAUUACAAAAACUUUUAGGUUAUUUUUAUAAAUUUCCCAUUUUUAUCUCCCUUGUACUGCCCAUAUUAUCAAAAUUGCAACAUUUGUUCGAUAUGUGGGUUUUUUGGGCUAAAAUUAUACGGAACGGAAGUGUCAGUUUGAGGAGGUGGUUUUAGGGUCCUAAGAGUUUAAAACCCCACGUAAUGGCAAGUCAUCUGCUGGAUGGGCCUUCGAAUGGACUGGACUUGUGGAACAAAAAGAUCAGAACUUUUUAAACAUUUAAAAAAGCUUGGUCACAGAUUUCCCAGAUAGAGCAAUCAACAAUUCGAUUGGUGGAUGUUAUAAUAUUGUAGGACUUAAAGAUUACAGUGGAAUCCGACGUGGCAAUUGCCAUCACCAAGAAAAUUUACGAAGUUUGCUUCUGAUUCUGAAUCAUCAUCAUCAGACAUCAAUGACGGUCUCUGCACCAACUCCAGUUGCCCAGGUUCAUACGAUCGAGUGCAACAGCUUCCUCUCCUCAAAGCUAAAGCCUCGCUCUAACCGUCUGUUUCCCGCCAAAAAUGUCUCAACAAUCGUUGCCAUGGCCCCCAGAAAGAAGGUAAUUCGAAAAUCUCAAGACUCUCUAAAAAAAUCUCAUAAUAUAUUUUUUUUUUUCCGGCUGAGUCUGUAUCAGUAUGUGAUAAUCAUACCAAAGUAUCAAACACUCAUAAAUUUUCAAUACUUUUUUUUUCCUUUUUCUUUCAGUGAUUGAGUAAAAGAUAAAUAAAUGGAAAUGGGUUAUGAAUUACAGUUUUGUCAACUCCAUUGAGUAAUAAAAAUAAAAAAUUUGGAAAAAUGACAGGUAAAUAAAUACGAUGCUAACUGGGAGAAGCAAUGGUUUGGGGCGGGAAUAUUCUGCGAAGGAAGCGAAGAAGUGGAAGUGGACGUGUUCAAGAAACUGGAACAACGCAAAGUAUUAAGCAACGUUGAAAAGGCGGGGCUCUUAUCGAAAGCAGAGGAGCUAGGAGUCACUCUUUCAUCCAUUGAGAAGUUGGGUCUUUUUUCUAAAGCAGAGGAGUUGGGUUUGUUGAGUUUGUUGGAAAAGCUGGCCAGCGCUUCUCCCUCCACUCUUGCCUCCGCCUCGCUCCCCAUAUUUCUGGCCGCUGUGGCCGCUGUUGUGGUGAUUCCGGACGAUUCUGUAACCUUGGUAGUGGUCCAGGCUGUGCUUGCUGCUGCUCUUGGAGUUGGUGCUGCUGGUUUGUUUGUUGGCUCCGUUGUCUUGGGUGGCUUGCAAGAAGCCGAUUGAAUUUUUUUUUUCAUUUCUUAGGUGAUGGCAGGAAUAAAAUGGAAUGUUUUGAAGGAUAAUUUAAUAUUGUGACUUACAAUCUUACAAAAAUUGUGAAUGUGAUAAGGUGAAGUGUGUGUGAUUAUUCCAUUUAAUUAUAUGAUAAAUGAUUAAAAAUAUUAAAAACUUUUAUGCCAUUUUGAAGAUAGGUAACUUAUGUAUUUGAUAUAAUGAACAGCGAUCCUUCUUUCUUUUCAAUUAAUUAAUUUUUUUUCCGACCCAUCAGGUUACCAUCUUCUUCGUUUUAGAAAAUAACCAACCUUAUAGAUUA